GGAAAGCUGGACAGAAGCCUGUCAGUGAAUGGCUCGGUUCGAGUGCUGAUGAAGGGCGUGCCAAGCUGCGAUAAGCUCCGGGGAGAGGCAUGGAAUCUACGAUCCGGAGAUACCCUAAUAGGACAUCCUAACACUUCGGUGUUGAUCCGUCAGGAUCGGGAACCCCCCGAAUUGAAACAUCUUAGUAGGGGGAGGAAAAGAAAUCAAUCGAGAUGUCGUAAGUAAAGGCGAUCGAAAGCGACAGAGUUCAAACUGAAUCCCUCCGGGGAGAUGUGGUGUGGUAGGCCUGCCGUGUGGUUGUUGCGACGAAGUGGAAGUCCUCUGGAACGAGGUACCAUAGGGGGUGAUAGUCCCGUACACGUAUGUCAAUGCAACCUGGCAGAGUCCUGAGUACCGUGGGUUGGAAUUCUCGCGGGAAUCUGGGGGUCAUCAACCUCCAAAACUAAAUACACCUCGAAACCGAUAGCGUAUUAGUAGCGUGAGCGAAAGCUGAAAAGUAACCCUGAAAAGGUGGUUAAAAGCGCCUGAAAUUGACAGGUUAUAGUGUGUUACGGCGCCAAAGGAUCUUCCAUGCGAAGGAACCCGUCGCGAGGCGGUAGUACGGGUAUGGUUGCCAGUGUCGUAACUUACGUUUUGAAGAACGGGCCAGAGAGUUUAUCUCAUUGGCGAAGGUUAACCGUAGAGGGGAGCCGGAGCGAAAGCAACAAGUCCGUAGCCUUCGGGCAUGGGACGGCGUAUUAAAAGUGCGCGAAGUCAGUGGGAUAAGACCCGAAGCCGGGUGAUCUAUGCGUGGGCAGGUUGAAGCGUGACGAAAGUUGCGUGGAGGACCGCCUGAGGUUUUGAUAUGCAAAUCAUUCUCGUGACCUGCGUAUAGGAGUGAAAGAUUCAUCGAACCCGGCAUCCGCUGGUUCCUUCCGAAACAUGCCGUAGCAUGACCUGGCCUGAGAUCGUCGGUGAGGUAGAGCACUGAUUGGGGGUAGCGGGGGAGAAAUUCCUCGUCCUCCUGUCAAACUCCAAAUUCCCCGACAUCUAAGACGGCUGGAAGUCCGCAUUACGGGGUAAGCUUGUAAUGCGUAAGGGAGACAACCCAGACCGUGGUUAAUGUCCCUCAAUGUAGGCUCAGUGUCAACACUGAAAGGCGUCCUAGGCCAAAAACAACUGGAAGGUGAGCUCAGAAGCAGCUAUCCUUCAAAAAGUGCGUAACAGCUUACCAGUCUAGGUUUAGGGCACUGAAAAUGGACGGGGCUAAAGCCUACUACAGAGACCACGGAGCACCGUAAGGUGAUCUAGUAGGAAGGCGUCCCGCAUGGGUAGAAGCAGGGUCGUAAGUUCCUGUGGACCGUGCGGGAAUGAGAAUUCUGGCAGUAGUAGAAGCAUAGAUGGGUGAGAAUCCCAUCCGCCGAAGGGGCUAGGUUUCCUCAGCAAUGUUCGUCAGCUGAGGGUUAGUCGGUCCUAAGAUACACCGUAAUGCGAGUGUGUCAACAGGGAAACAGGUUAAUAUUCCUGUACCAUUCAAUCUUUGCUUAGCAAUAAGCGCUGACGCUUCGGGAUAUACCGGGCGGGUCCGUCGCCCCGUCUAAGCAUGUAAGUCCGGGGAGUACCGUAAUGGUGAGAACCGGGUGAAAGUGUGAUAGGGAAACUUGGUAAAUUCCUGGAGCCCAUGAAAAGGCGAUUGAAUGUCCGUACCGAGAACUGACACAGGUGCCCCUAGCUGAAUAGGCUAAGGCGUGUCGGAUCAAUCGUGUUAAGGGAACUCGGCAAAAUGGCCCCGUAACUUUGGAAGAAGGGGUGCCUGCUUGGUGAUCAAGCAGGUCGCAGUGACCAGGGGACUCUAACUGUCUAAUAACAACAUAGCUGACUGCAACUCCGUAAGGACUAGUAUAGUCGGUGAUUCCUGCCCAGUGCGAGUAUCUGAACACCGGUUCCAACCGGACGAAGGACUCGUAAACGGCGGGGGUAACUAUGACCCUCUUAAGGUAGCGUAGUACCUUGUCGCUUAAUUGGCGACUUGCAUGAAUGGAUUAAUGAGAGUCCUACUGUCCCUAACACGAAUCCGUUGAACCUUUUAUCCUGGUGCAGAGGCCAGGGACCCCAAAUGGGAAGUGAAGACCCCGUGGAGCUUUACUGCAGCCUGUCGCUGUAGUACGAUAUUCCUUGCGCAGUGUAGAUGGGAGGCGUUAUAUCCGUUCCUUCUGGGGAACGGGGAGCCGUCGAUGAGACACCAUCCUUGGUUUGUUGUACUACUCACUCUUACGAGGACACCGAUAGGUAGGCAGUUUGGGUGGGGCGCCACACCCUCGAAAAAAUAUCAAGGGUGCCCUAAGGUCAACUCAUGUGAGUCAGAAACUCACAGAAGAGUGUCAAGAGCAAAAGUUGGCCUGACGCGAUUAUGAAUAGCAAAUAAUCGCGAGAGGAAACUCGGGUCUAACGAACCAAUACGCCCUUUUGAUGAGGGCUAUUGACGACAGAAAAGCUACCCCGGGGAUAACAGAGUCGUCGCCGGCAAGAGCACAUAUCGACCCGGCGGCUUGCUACCUCGAUGUCGGUUCUUUCCAUCCUGGCUGUGCAGCAGCAGCCAAGGGUGAGGUUGUUCGCCUAUUAAAGGGGAUCGUGAGCUGGGUUUAGACCGUCGUGAGACAGGUCGGUUACUAUCUAUUUGGGGUGUCAGGAGUCUGAGGGUAAGAAAGAAAUAGUACGAGAGGAACUUUCUUUCGUCGCCACUGGUCGAUCGGUUGUCCGACAGGGCAAUGCCGAGCAGCUACGCGAUAAGGGGUAAAAGCUGAAAGCAUCUAAGCUUGAAACCCGGCCCAAAAAGAGACUCCGUUACAGGACAUGGGUAAAAGACCCGCUUAAUAGGCUUGGGAUGUACGCACGAAGGCAACGACGUGUUCAGUCCGCAAGUACUAACGUCCAAAUCCAGUUUUCC
rfam:Methanofollis liminatans DSM 4140 chromosome, whole genome shotgun sequence.